GAUGAACGCUGGCGGCGUGCCUAAUACAUGCAAGUCGAGCGAACAGACGAGGAGCUUGCUCCUCUGACGUUAGCGGCGGACGGGUGAGUAACACGUGGAUAACCUACCUAUAAGACUGGGAUAACUUCGGGAAACCGGAGCUAAUACCGGAUAAUAUAUUGAACCGCAUGGUUCAAUAGUGAAAGACGGUUUUGCUGUCACUUAUAGAUGGAUCCGCGCCGCAUUAGCUAGUUGGUAAGGUAACGGCUUACCAAGGCGACGAUGCGUAGCCGACCUGAGAGGGUGAUCGGCCACACUGGAACUGAGACACGGUCCAGACUCCUACGGGAGGCAGCAGUAGGGAAUCUUCCGCAAUGGGCGAAAGCCUGACGGAGCAACGCCGCGGGAGUGAUGAAGGUCUUCGGAUCGUAAAACUCUGUUAUUAGGGAAGAACAAAUGUGUAAGUAACUAUGCACGUCUUGACGGUACCUAAUCAGAAAGCCACGGCUAACUACGU
rnacentral:rRNA from 1 species